rnacentral:rRNA from 1 species
AUUGAACGCUGGCGGCAGGCCUAACACAUGCAAGUCGAACGAGUGGCGGACGGGUGAUUAAUGUCUUGGACACUGCCUGAUGGAGGGGGCUAACUACUGGAAACGGUAGCUAAUACCGCAUACCAUCGAAUGUGCCCAGAUGGGAUUAGCUAGUAGGUGGGGUAAAGGCUAACCUAGGCGACGAGCCCUAGCUGGUAGGAGAGGAUGACCGGCCACACGGGAACGGGGACAGGGUCCAGACUCCUACGGGAGGCAGCAGUGGGGAAUAGUGCACAGUGGGCGCAAGUCUUAUGCAGCCAGGCCGCGUGUAAGAAGAAGGCCUUCGGGUUGUAAAGUACGUUCAGCGGGGAGGCGGUACCCGCAGAAGAAGCACCGGCUAACUCCGUGCCAGCAGCCGCGGUAAUUC